GGAAGGACCAACGAUGACUAUAUAUGGUAAUGACAUUUGAUGUAAAUACUCUAGUAAAGAAUGGAUAGUUUAAUAUGUAGGCUGAGAGUGAUUGUGGUGAUGUCACCUCAGCAUGACACCCUUGUAAAUAACUUACACAUUGAAGGUUUCUUUUUUAAAAAUGUUCCUCCAUUAAUAAGAAAGAGAUUAUUUUACUAGAUGCCAAGUUUCACAAACUGUUUACAAUUAAUAUAAAUAUAAAGUAUAUUUUAU
rnacentral:lncRNA from 1 species